rnacentral:rRNA from 1 species
CAGUCGCCGCGGUAAUACGAAGGGUGCAAGCGUUACUCGGAAUUACUGGGCGUAAAGCGUGCGUAGGUGGUGGUUUAAGUCCGUUGUGAAAGCCCUGGGCUCAACCUGGGAAUUGCAGUGGAUACUGGGUCACUAGAGUGUGGUAGAGGAUAGUGGAAUUUCCGGUGUAGCAGUGAAGUGCGUAGAGAUCGGAAGGAACAUCUGUGGCGAAGGCGACUAUCUGGGCCAACACUGACACUGAGGCACGAAAGCGUGGGGAGCAAACAGGAUUAGAUACCCCCGUAGUCCCUGUCUCUUAUAC